GACGAACGCUGGCGGCGUGCUUAACACAUGCAAGUCGAACGAAGUGGCGAACGGGUGAGUAACGCGUAAUCAACCUGCCCUUCAGAGGGGGACAACAGUUGGAAACGACUGCUAAUACCGCAUACUGAAGGAGGGGAUUGCGUCUGAUUAGCUAGUUGGAGGGGUAACGGCCCACCAAGGCGAAGAUCAGUAGCCGGUCUGGGAGGAUGAACGGCCACAUGUGGACUGGGAAACGGGCCAGAAUCCUACGGGAGGCAGCAGGGGGGAAUCUUCCGCAAUGGACGAAAGGCUGAAGGAGCAAAGCCGCGUGGGUGAUGACGGCCUUCGGGUUGUAAAACUCUGUUAAUCGGGGCGCGGUACCGGAAUAGAAAGCCACGGCUAACUACGUGCCAGCCGCCGCGGUAAUAC
rnacentral:rRNA from 1 species